AAUCAACGCUGGCGGCGUGCCUAACACAUGCAAGUCGAACGAGAAAGGGGCUUCGGCCCUGAGUAAAGUGGCGCACGGGUGAGUAACACGUGACUAACCUACCCUGGAGUGGGGAAUAACUUCGAGAAAUCGAGGCUAAUACCGCAUAACACCUACGGGUCAAAGGAGCAAUUCGCUUCAGGUGGGGGUCGCGGGAGAGUAGUUAGUUGGCAGGGUAAUGGCCUACCAAGACAGUGAUCUGUAUCCGGCCUGAGAGGGCGCACGGACACACUGGAACUGAAACACGGUCCAGACUCCUACGGGAGGCAGCAGUGGGGAAUUUUGCGCAAUGGGGGAAACCCUGACGCAGCAACGCCGCGUGGAGGAUGAAGUCUCUUGGGACGUAAACUCCUUUCGACCGGGACGAUAAUGACGGUACCGGAAGAAGAAGCCCCGGCUAACUUCGUGCCAGCAGCCGCCGUAACAC
rnacentral:rRNA from 1 species